GGGCGGGUGCUGGAAUUUGGUAGACAGGAUAGACUUAGGAUCUAUUGGGGUUACGCCUCGUGAGGGUUCAAGUCCCUCCUCGCCCA
rnacentral:tRNA from 1 species